rnacentral:snRNA from 1 species
GGAUGUGGACUGUACAAUCUGUGCUCCCAUUGGUGGCCAACGUUGAUUCAGCUGAUCUGGUUGGCUAGGCUAGUGACAUCUUCCUCUCUCUCCAUUCCAUGUUUAUCCGUCCUGAAGCUGUGCAUUCAGUGGAAGAGGAUGACCAUCCCAAAUAGAAGAAAAGCAUCCUUCUUUGAACAAAGGCAUAGUAUAGCUGCACUCCUGUUCUAGAAUCUCCAAACAACCUUAGGUUUCAUAUGUGUAUCCACAUUAUGAUGCUCAUCCAAGCCUCACUGAGGAUGUGUUCAAACAUGUGCUU